GCGGCUAUGGCGAAGAUGGUUAACGCACCGGAUUGUGGCUCCGGCACUCAAGGGUUCGAAUCUCUUUAGUCGCCCCA
rnacentral:tRNA from 1 species